AAUAAUGUAGCUCAGCUAGGUAGAGCAGGAGACAUGUUCUUUGUGGCGUAGGUUCAAUUCCUUCCGUUAUUA
rnacentral:tRNA from 1 species